AUGGCGCUUGCCCUCGCCUCCCCAAUGGCGUCCCUCUCGCUCCACUCCGGGAGGAUCUCGGCGGUGGCUAUCGGCGGCGGUCUCCGCCCCCACAAAGCGGGCCCUAUGGGGGCCUCCGCCUCCCCGUUUCUCCGGAGCUCCUUCAUCUCCUCCUCCUCCACCACCUCCUCGCUCUCGGCUGCGGUCUCGGCGUCGCUCGCCUUCACGUCCGCCUCGUCGUUCGGCGGUUCAUCUUUGGGAAUUGAGUUCAGCUACAACAGAUUAACAACACGCAGACCUCGCGGUCUACAGAUUAGGGCCGGAAAGGCUGCCCUCUGCCUGACCAAGAGGUCAAGAUCCAGGAAGUCACUUGCCCGUGUGCAUGGUUUCCGAAGGCGGAUGCGGACUACUGCUGGAAGAAAGGUUCUGAAGCGUAGGCGUGACAGAGGAAGGAAGAUUCUGUGCACAAAGUCGAACUCACCCACUGGGACAAAGUACUGA
rnacentral:rRNA from 1 species